rnacentral:lncRNA from 1 species
AAUAAUUUAAGUAAUUACAAUUUAAAGUAAUCUGCUUAAAGUACACGAGUUCAAGAAAACAAAAUCUAAUCAAUGAAAUAUUUAUUCAAGAACAAUCUAAGAGUAAAUAAUCUCUGUACUGAUUAAUCCACACUCCCAUAUAUUUGUAUGUCAUGUGUUACUAUUUAUAGGCACUAAUUUAUAAUAUAUUUAUAGAUUGAAAUAAAAAUUCUACACUGUUUUAUUAUAAAUGCAUAUAAUUUGAAAUAGUAACAUACCUUUUUAAAGAAUAAACAUAUACUAUAUCCUUUGUUAUAAUCCAUAAUUUCUCUUGUUUGUUGUAAGUUAUUAUGGGCAACCUCCCCAGCAACUCUUUGUGUUAUAUUUUCAUUUAAUUGAAUAAGUACACAAAGAGUAGCCAGAAACACGAAAACCCACAAAGUGUCCUUUUUGUAAGGUUCUCCUAUCCUUUCAUGUGUGUAACUCGUGUAAGUAUUUCAAUAAACUCUGUAAACUUUUGUUCAAAUUCAAAACUGAAUGAGCUCCAUCCAAUUUUCAAAAAUAGCUUACCAAAGUCAAAUGAAACCUUAAUUCUGAUUGGCCGAUUUUUUUUUUCAGUCUCAAAUCAAAAACUGCUUAUUAAAAAUACAGGAAAUAUUAUACAAUUUUGUACAUUUAUAAUAGUUAUUUUUUAAUUUUAGUAAAACUAA